rnacentral:rRNA from 1 species
CCUACGGGCGGCAGCAGUGAGGAAUAUUGGUCAAUGGCCGGAAGGCUGAACCAGCCAUGCCGCGUGAAGGUCAGUGCCCUAUGGGCGUUAAACUUCUUUUGUGCGGGAGCAAUAAUGGUCACGUGUGGCCAGACGAGAGUACCGUACGAAUAAGCAUCGGCUAACUACGUGCCAGCAGCCGCGGUAAUACGGGGGAUGCAAGCGUUAUACGGAUUUAUUGGGGUUAAAGGGUGCGUAGGCUGUGAGGUAAGUCAGCGGUGAAAUGCCCCCGCUCAACGGGGUGAAGUGCCAUUGAUACUGCCUUGCUGGAAUGCGGAUGCAGUGGGAGGAAUGUGUGGUGUAGCGGUGAAAUGCAUAGAUAUCACACAGAACACCGAUUGCGAAGGCAUCUCACGAAUCCGCGAUUGACGCUGAUGCACGAAAGCGUGGGUAUCAAACAGGAUUAGAUACCCGAGUAGUC